rnacentral:rRNA from 1 species
UGGGGAAUAUUGGACAAUGGGCGCAAGCCUGAUCCAGCAAUGCCGCGUGAGUGAGGAAGGCCUUAGGGUUGUAAAGCUCUUUCGCACGCGACGAUGAUGACGGUAGCGUGAGAAGAAGCCCCGGCUAACUUCGUGCCAGCAGCCGCGGUAAUACGAAGGGGGCGAGCGUUGUUCGGAUUUACUGGGCGUAAAGGGCGCGCAGGCGGCAGAUCAAGUCAGACGUGAAAGCCCCGGGCUUAACCUGGGAACUGCGUUUGGGACUGAUUUGCUAGAGAUCGGGAGAGGAGAGUGGAAUUCCCAGUGUAGAGGUGAAAUUCGUAGAUAUUGGGAAGAACACCGGUGGCGAAGGCGGCUCUCUGGACCGAUACUGACGCUGAGGCGCGAAAGCGUGGGGAGCAAACAG